GCUCCCCUGCUGCCCCUGGGCCCCCUGAGCCCCCGGGAGUGCUGGCUGCUGAACUGGGGCUUGCAAGGAGGAGAGCUGGCCCUGCGCGCGGCAAAGUGGUCUGGAUAUCUCCCGCCCGCGCUGCCUGCAAGAGUGCAACUGGGAGAGGAGAUCCAUCCGGCCACCGACGCUCGGGAAAGACGCUGGGGGAGGCUCCUGCAGCUUCCCACCAAAGAAAACCCACUGUUUUGCAGCCAAGUUAUCUCACGCCGUAAGAUUUGGGUGGAGGAGGAACCGCUGGAGCUCCACGUCCAACACCGCCGGCCCCACCCUGGGCACGGACAGACGUCUCCGCUCUAGGGAAGGACGGCAGAGCCACCACCCAGGCUCUCUCAAGAUGGGAAUAAAGACCCCGUCUGUCUCCAGUCGUUGCUUCUACAGAGUCUCGGAUGGAGCAUCCAAGCACUUGAUGGCCACGGUGGUAUUUUGCAGGCCGUUUCUUCGAAACCUGCUGAGGGCAUCACUGCGUCUCCAUCCUGGGAGACAUCCCCAUCAUCCCACCUGUGCCAGAAGCCCUUGGGGAAGAAGAAAGGAAUUCCCUUCUUCUUUAGUUUAUUUUUUCAGUACCUAUCUGUAUGUAUAAGUGAGCUUUCCGCACAGGGGAUGUAUAAUUUGAGCAGAACACAGUACGUUGAAUUUUGCCUUCAGCUACGCUCUGUGAAGCCAAGAUUUGCUCCGAGCUAGCAAAGGAAUGCCAAGCUACCACAACGCUACAGCUACGAGCAAGGUGCUCUGUAAAUAUUCCGUAUUUCCCCUUCAACACAAGAGGUUCCCAUCGUUGCUAAGACAUUUUGAAGGGUAUUGCCAGGGUGAGGGUGGAGUCCAGCACAGCAUCUUUUUGGUCACAGUUUGUGUUCUCAAACAUCUUCGCGUCCCCGGCUGCUCUUUUCCCAUCUCUUGCUAUUUUCCCGGGACAAAAAUCUUGAGGCUGGAGCAUUUCCCGCUGGCAGAGAUCCGCCAGUUCCCACUGAACUGGGAGAGAACUGAGGGAGGCUCUUAACCUCUUCCCAGAGAUGCUCGGCGCUUUCCCGGGAGCAGCCCUAGGAGGAUGCUGAGGCAGGAUACGGUCCUGCCCGGGCGGGUCCCGGCAUCUUGUGGACUCCGUGCUUGGCGGCACCAAGAGCCAGGCAGCCUGCCCCAAUUCCCUCCGCUACAGCGAUGGAGGAACUCCCCUGACACCUCACCACCUCCCUAAAUACACGCUUUUAAUAAAGAGCCAA